rnacentral:lncRNA from 1 species
AUUUGGCUUUGGAUACGAUGUUCUUUAAUUUUGAUGGUGGCACCACAUGAUGUGGCAACAAAGUGUCUUGAGAUAGCCCAAGAGGGUGAAAAUUUUAAAUUUUUGCAUAAUAGCAACCAAAAGCUCUCAAGCAAGUAUUCCUGUUGGCCAAAGUCUAGAAGUUGUAGCCCCAAAAGGAUAGACUUGAGGUGUCUGGCUGCUGAGCCAGAGGUUGAAAGCUCGAUUCCCCACCAUGCCUUCUUGACAGGGGCAGAACUUGAUGAUCCUUCCAGCCCUGCAGUUCUAAGACGAUUAGUCAAACAAUGAAACAACGAAAAAGACAAAAACAUUGUCUGAAGAAGGGGACUUGUACACAAAAGCUCACAUUAAAAAUACCAUCUGGAUUCUGUACUACGUUUGUGUGUACGUACCUAAUACUUUGCAUGACUGAUCAGCCAUUGGUAUUAUUUGUUAGUAUUUACUGUGGAUGUGUUAAUAAUAAUGUGGCACAUGAAGAUAUGUAGCACACUGAUUUCUCCCCUCAUGUCUGUAAUUGUAUUCAACGAACUUUCUAGCUUCUAAGAUUGUACAAUCGUUGACAAUAAGGGCUAGAAUCAUGCCUUUUUAAACUGCAAAAGCAGAAUGUCUCAUUGAAAUUACUGCCGGGUGCCAUGUGAGAUCUAAUACAUCCACAGAAUCAUG